AUUGAACGCUGGCGGCGGGCCUAACACAUGCAAGUCGAACGGUAACAGGAAGCAGCUUGCUGCUUUGCUGACGAGUGGCGGACGGGUGAGUAAUGUCUGGGAAACUGCCUGAUGGAGGGGGAUAACUACUGGAAACGGUAGCUAAUACCGCAUAACGUCGCAAGACCAAAGAGGGGGACCUUCGGGCCUCUUGCCAUCGGAUGCGCCCAGAUGGGAUUAGCUAGUAGGUGGGGUAACGGCUCACCUAGGCGACGAUCCCUAGCUGGUCUGAGAGGAUGACCAGCCACACUGGAACUGAGACACGGUCCAGACUCCUACGGGAGGCAGCAGUGGGGAAUAUUGCACAAUGGGCGCAAGCCUGAUGCAGCCAUGCCGCGUGUAUGAAGAAGGCCUUCGGGUUGUAAAGUACUUUCAGCGGGGAGGAAGGGAGUAAAGUUAAUACCUGUGCUCAUUGACGUUACCCGCAGAAGAAGCACCGGCUAACUCCGUG
rnacentral:rRNA from 1 species